rnacentral:rRNA from 1 species
UACGUAGGGUGCGAGCGUUGUCCGGAAUUAUUGGGCGUAAAGAGCUCGUAGGCGGUGUGUCACGUCGAUCGUGAAAACUUACAGCUUAACUGUGAGCGUGCGGUCGAUACGGGCAUCACUGGAGUUCGGCAGGGGAGACUGGGAAUUCCUGGUGUAGCGGUGAAAUGCGCAGAUAUCAGGAGGAACACCGGUGGCGAAGGCGGGUCUCUGGGCAACAACUGACGCUGAGGAGCGAAAGCGUGGGGAGCGAACAGG